CACGUAGUUAGCCGGAGCUUCCUCCUCUGCUACCGUCAUCAUCUUCACAGAGGACAGAGGUUUACAAUCCGAAAAACCGUCUUCCCUCACGCGGCGUUGCUGGUUCAGGGUUUCCCCCAUUGACCAAUAUCCCUUACUGCUGCCUCCCGUAGGAGUCUGGGCCGUGUCUCAGUCCCAAUGUGGCCGUCCAACCUCUCAGUCCGGCUACCGAUCGUCGGCUUGGUGGGCCGUUACCCCACCAACUACCUAAUCGGACGCGAGCCCAUCUUUCAGCGGAUUGCUCCUUUGAUUAUCCUACCAUGCGAUAAGAUAAUGUCAUGCGGUAUUAGCGUUCGUUUCCAAACGUUAUCCCCCUCUGAAAGGCAGGUUGCUCACGCGUUACUCACCCGUCCGCCACUAAGAUAUCCAAGAUUCAUUACCGAAGUACUUCAUCAGCGAAUAUCUCCGUUCGACUUGCAUGUAUUAGGCACGCCGCCAGCGUUCGUCCUGAGCCAGGAUCAAACUCU
rnacentral:rRNA from 1 species